UACGUAGGAUGCAAGCGUUGUCCGGAAUUAUUGGGCGUAAAGAGCUCGUAGGCGGUCUGUCGCGUCGGCUGUGAAAACCCGUGGCUCAACCCCGGGCCUGCAGUCGAUACGGGCAGACUAGAGUGCGGUAGGGGAGAUUGGAAUUCCUGGUGUAGCGGUGGAAUGCGCAGAUAUCAGGAGGAACACCGAUGGCGAAGGCAGAUCUCUGGGCCGUAACUGACGCUGAGGAGCGAAAGCGUGGGGAGCGAACAGG
rnacentral:rRNA from 1 species